AUACGUAGGGUGCGAGCGUUGUCCGGAAUUACUGGGCGUAAAGAGCUCGUAGGUGGUUUGUCGCGUCGUCUGUGAAAUUCCGGGGCUUAACUCCGGGCGUGCAGGCGAUACGGGCAUAACUUGAGUACUGUAGGGGAGACUGGAUUUCCUGUGGUAGCGGUGAAAUGCGCAGAUAUCAGGAGGAACACCGGUGGCGAAGGCGGGUCUCUGGGCAGUAACUGACGCUGAGGAGCGAAAGCAUGGGUAGCGAACAGGAUUAGAUACCCUGGUAGUCCAUGCCGUAAACGGUGGGCGCUAGGUGUAGGGGUCUUCCACGACUUCUGUGCCGUAGCUAACGCAUUAAGCGCCCCGCCUGGGGAGUACGGCCGCAAGGCUAAAACUCAAAUGAAUUGACGGGG
rnacentral:rRNA from 1 species